rnacentral:misc_RNA from 1 species
UUCUCCUAAUUCUUCUCCUAAUUCUGUUCAACAUCACAAUUCUCUAGGCAAGGGAAAAGGAUGCAAAAGAGAUAGAUCCCAUUUAGUAGCAAAGGCAUUGGAGAUGGAUGUAGUGGUUAAGAAAGUUGAUAAGAAUGGUCCAAGUUUUUUUGACUGUAAUAUAUGUUUUGAUAUUGCAAAAGAACCUAUUUUGACUUGUUGUGGCCAUUUAUAUUGCUG